AGCGGUGUUGGUGGAUAGGCUUGGUGCCGUCAAUUGCGAAUUGUUGGGAGGAACCCGGAGGGUUCGAUCGCUUCCGUCGCUA
rnacentral:tRNA from 1 species